GCACCCGUAGCUCAACUGGAUAGAGUACCUGACUACGAAUCAGGCGGUUACAAGUUCGAAUCUUGUCGGGUGUACGA
rnacentral:tRNA from 1 species